UACGAAGGGGGCUAGCGUUGCUCGGAAUCACUGGGCGUAAAGGGUGCGUAGGCGGCCCGGUAAGUCAGUGGUGAAAGCCUCCAGCUCAACUGGAGAACUGCCAUUGAUACUGCCGGGCUUGAGUACAGACGAGGUUGGCGGAAUUGAUUGUGUAGCGGUGAAAUGCAUAGAUACAAUCAAGAACUCCGAUUGCGUAGGCAGCUAACUAGGCUGUAACUGACGCUGAGGCACGAAAGCGUGGGGAGCGAACAGG
rnacentral:rRNA from 1 species